GAUGGCCAUUGAUGUUCAAGCUGUUAAUGGAGAUGCUGCCUAAUGAAGAGAUGGUGAAAGGCUGAAAGGUGUGCUUAAAGCUGUUGCUGCUGUCCUUGGUGUCACAAUUCAAUGUGUUGUUCAUUGAUUUGUCUGUUGUGUCAAAUCUCUUCCAAAUUCCCCUUCAAAUUUUUAUCUCGUCUUCACCAAAAAGCCACCACCUCAGCAUCACACAUCACAGACAACAUUCCCAAGGUUCUCAUGGCCAUUGAUGUUCAGGCUGUUAAUGGAGAUCUUGAAAGGUGUGGUUAAACUUUAAAUUGCUGCUGUCAUGUAUUGUGAUUUCAUGUGUAAGUUCACUUUUCAUGUCACUGAACUUUUUUCAUUCCAGUCUCAUAAGUAUUUUAAUUAUUCAUCUGCUGGGCUUAAGUCUAUCUAAUGUUCAAGAGACGAUUUCAAGUGUAUACUGAUAACAGUUUAUUGGCUGCGUCUUGAACCGGUCGGUUUGUUUAAUAAAAAUUUUUCAUAAA